CGGAGGGUGCAAGCGUUAUCCGGAUUCACUGGGUUUAAAGGGUGCGUAGGUGGGCAAGUAAGUCAGUGGUGAAAUCUCCGGGCUUAACCCGGAAACUGCCAUUGAUACUAUUUGUCUUGAAUACUGUGGAGGUCAGCGGAAUAUGUCAUGUAGCGGUGAAAUGCUUAGAUAUGACAUAGAACACCAAUUGCGAAGGCAGCUGGCUACACAAAUAUUGACACUGAGGCACGAAAGCGUGGGGAUCAAACAGGAUUAGAUACCCUGGUAGUCCACGCCCUAAACUAUGGAUACUCGACAUUUGCGAUAAACUGCAAGUGUCUGAGCGAAAGCAUUAGGUAUCCCACCUGGGAAGUACGAUCACAAGAUUG
rnacentral:rRNA from 1 species